rnacentral:rRNA from 1 species
CCUACGGGAGGCAGCAGUGAGGAAUUUUCUGCAAUGGGCGAAAGCCUGACAGAGCAAUACCGCGUGAGGGAUGAAGACUUACUGAGUUGUAAACCUCGGUGCCUUAAGGAAGAAGAUCUGACGGUACUUAAGGUGGAAAGCAUCGGCUAACUCCGUGCCAGCAGCCGCGGUAAGACGGGGGAUGCAAGUGUUAUCCGGAAUUACUGGGCGUAAAGCGUCUGCAGGUGGUUUUAUAAGUCUGCUGUUAAAUCUUGAGGCUCAACCUCAAAUCUGCAGUGGAAACUAUAAGACUUGAGUAUAGUAGGGGUANAGGGAAUUUCCAGUGGAGCGGUGAAAUGCGUAGAUAUUGGAAAGAACACCGAUGGCGAAGGCACUCUACUGGGCUAUUACUGACACUCAGAGACGAAAGCUAGGGGAGCAAAUGGGAUUAGAUACCCCGAGUAGUCCUAGCCGUAAACGAUGGAUACUCGAUGUUAGGACGUAUCGACCCGUUCAGUAUCUUAGCUAACGCGUUAAGUAUCCCGCCUGGGGAGUACGCUCGCAAGAGUGAACUCAAAUGAAUUGACGG